rnacentral:rRNA from 1 species
UACGUAGGCAGCAAGCGUUGUUCGGAGUUACUGGGCGUAAAGGGUGCGUAGGCGGCUUUUUAAGUUUGGUGUGAAAUCUCCCGGCUCAACUGGGAGGGUGCGCCGAAUACUGAGAGGCUAGAGUGUGGGAGAGGAAAGUGGAAUUCCUGGUGUAGCGGUGAAAUGCGUAGAGAUCGGGAGGAACACCAGUGGCGAAGGCGGCUACCUGGACCAGCACUGACACUGAAGCACGAAAGCGUGGGGAGCAAACAGG